CGAUGCUUCUGUGAUGCGCUCUCGAAGAGUCGAGUUGUUUGGGAAUGCAGCUCAAAAUGGGUGGUGAACUCCAUCUAAAGCUAAAUAUUGGCGAGAGACCGAUAGCGAACAAGUACCGUGAGGGAAAGAUGAAAAGCACUUUGGAAAGAGAGUGAAACAGUACGUGAAAUUGUUGAAAGGGAAACGCUUGAAGUCAGUCGCGUCGUCCGAGACUCAGCCUCGCCUCGGCUUGGUGUACUUCWCGGCUGACGGGCCAGCAUCAAUUUUGUCCCUCGGAUAAUGGCAAGGGAAAGGUGGCACCCUUACGGGUGUGUUAUAGUCUCCUGUCGCAUGCGAGGGAUGGGAUUGAGGACCUCAGCAUGCACCUGCUUGGUGUCGGGGCCUUUUGGCCCACGCAACGUGCUUAGGAUGUUGGCGUAAUGGCUUUAAACGACCCGUCUUGAAACACGGACCAAGGAGUCUAACAUGCCCGCGAGUGUUCGGGUGGAAAACCCGUGCGCGAAAUGAAAGUGAACGUUGGGACCUCUGUCGUGGAGGGCACCGACGCCCGGACCAGACCUUCUGUGACGGAUCUGCGGUAGAGCGUGCAUGUUGGGACCCGAAAGAUGGUGAACUAUGCCUGAAUAGGGUGAAGCCA
rnacentral:rRNA from 1 species